UGCCCGUUGGUCAAACGGUUAAGACGCCACCCUCUCAAGGUGGAGUUACGGGUUCGAUUCCCGUACGGGCGA
rnacentral:tRNA from 1 species